GAUGAACGCUGGCGGCGUGCCUAAUACAUGCAAGUCGAGCGAACAGACGAGGAGCUUGCUCCUCUGACGUUAGCGGCGGACGGGUGAGUAACACGUGGAUAACCUACCUAUAAGACUGGGAUAACUUCGGGAAACCGGAGCUAAUACCGGAUAAUAUAUUGAACCGCAUGGUUCAAUAGUGAAAGACGGUUUUGCUGUCACUUAUACAUGGAUCCGCGCCGCAUUAGCGAGUUGGUAAGGUAACGGCUUACCAAGGCAACGAUGCGUAGCCGACCUGAGAGGGUGAUCGGCCACACUGGAACUGAGACACGGUCAAGACUCCUACGGGAGGCAGCAGUGGGGAAUAUUCCGCAAUGGGCGAAAGCAUGACGGAGAAACGCCGCGUGAGUGAUGAAGGUCUUCGGAUCGUAAAACUCUGUUAUUAGGGAAGAACAAAUGUGUAAGUAACUAUGCACGUCUUGACGGUACCUAAUCAGAAAGCCACGGCUAACUACGUG
rnacentral:rRNA from 1 species